ensembl:snRNA U1 U1 spliceosomal RNA
AUACUUACCUGGCAGGGGAGUUACCAUGAUCACGAAUGUGGUUUGCCCCAGGUGAGACUUACCCAUUGCACUCUGGGUGUGCUGACCCCUCUGAUUUCUCCAAACAUGGGAAACUCGGCUGCAUAACUUGUGGUAGAGGGGACUGCAUUUACACUUUCCCCGA